rnacentral:rRNA from 1 species
UACGGAGGGAGCUAGCGUUUGUUCGGAAUUACUGGGCGUAAAGCGCACGUAGGCGGCUUUGUAAGUUAGAGGUGAAAGCCUGGGGCUCAACCCCAGAAUUGCCUUUAAGACUGCAUCGCUUGAAUCCAGGAGAGGUGAGUGGAAUUCCGAGUGUAGAGGUGAAAUUCGUAGAUAUUCGGAAGAACACCAGUGGCGAAGGCGGCUCACUGGACUGGUAUUGACGCUGAGGUGCGAAAGCGUGGGGAGCAAACAGG